rnacentral:rRNA from 1 species
GGUGAACGCUGGCGGCGUGCUUAAGACAUGCAAGUCGAACGCAGUCUUCGGACUGAGUGGCGCACGGGUGAGUAACACGUGACUGACCUACCCCCAAGUCGCGAAUAACCAGCCGAAAGGAUGGCUAAUACGUGAUGUGAUGAUCCGCUGUGGCGGAUCAUUAAAGACUUGAUCGCUUGGGGAUGGGGUUGCGUUCCAUCAGCUAGUUGGUAAGGUAAAGGCUUACCAAGGCAACGACGGAUAGCCGGCCUGAGAGGGUGGCCGGCCACAGGGGCACUGAGACACGGGUCCCACUCCUACGGGAGGCAGCAUGUAGGAAUCGUCCACAAUGGGCGCAAGCCUGAUGGAGCGACGCCGCGUGAGGGAUGAAGGUUCUCGGAUCGUAAACCUCUGAACCAACGACGAAAGACCCGACAAGGGAGAUGACGGUAGUUGGGUAAUAGCACCGGCUAACUCCGUGCCAGCAGCCGCGGUAAUAC